CGCGUAGGCCCCGCCUCGGUCGCGCGCCUGCCCGCGCCGCCCAUUGGUUCCGAGAGCGGUGACUCGUGGGCGGAGCAGGAAGGAAACCGCUCCCGAGCGCGGCGGCGUCGUCUCCCCGCUGUGCAGCUGCCGCCACCGCAGCCCGUCCGUCUGACGACCAGUUAAUCCACCCGCAGCAUGAGCGGCCUGCGCGUCUACAGCACGUCCGUCACCGGCUCCCGCGAAGUUCCUUCUCAGUCCUCCAGCCUGCCACUGACCCUGCCACCCUCCACCCCCAGAUCAAGUCCCAGCAGAGCGAAGUGACCCGCAUCCUGGACGGGAAGCGCAUCCAGACUAUGAGCUCUUCGUGGAGGCUGUGGAACAAAACACGCUGCAGGAGUUCCUGAAACUGGCCUGAGCCAAGCUGGUCUGUGGUUCCCUCUCCAGACUCCCGCCAUCACAUUCCCCCAGCCCUCACCAGCCAUGAGGAAACUUGUGACCAACUCCCUAUCAUUCCAACCCUCUGACCUUGGAACCUCCUACCACCCCAAGCCCCUUUGCCCCUCUAACUGUAGCCCCUCUGUCCUCCAUUCAAAGGCAACAUUCCUUACCCACUUGUCUCAGAAAUUGUCUUAAGAGCAGCCCUAAUACUGGCUAUCCCCAGCCAGGCCUUGGGGCUGCCACCCCACCUGGCACUGGCUGAUGGGCGCCUCUCCUGGUUCCAUCAGCCAGGGCUCUGCCAAAGGCCCCGCAAUCCCCAUUCCAGAAGCACAUGAGAGACAAUUAAAUGUCCCCAUUGCAUUGGUACUGUGUCUGUCUGUGGCCUAGGCAUCCUGGUAGAUGUGACUUAUGAGGCUGUCCUGUGGGCAGAUGUUUGCACUGUCCCCACGCCUGUCUGUCACAUCUGUGUGAUGUGUAUGUGCUUGGAGACGUGUCUGGCUCACAGUCUGUGGGUUGUUCACCCUCUAGGCCACAGGCAAGCAAUUGUGUCCAGCACGUUCG
rnacentral:lncRNA from 1 species